GUGGUGUCCGUGCAGUGUACGGGUUACCUCGGUGACUUUUAAAAACUUGCAAAUGACUUUUUGAAAAAGACUGUCAUCCAACGGCCACGCAGGACCUGAAAGGUCACACGGGAAACCUCGGCCCUUGGUGGAGAACCGCGGGGUGUUAAGGAAGGCCUUCCGCCCACGAUGAGGUUUGUUUUGCAGCCUUUGGUGUCCUCAGAUGUCCCCCCCACCCCCCCAAGGACGACCAGUGUCUUUCACUGAUUACAAACCCCAGCGUCCGAAACUGCUCAAAGGCGCAAGGAGGGCACAGGCGAGGGUGUCCCAGGUGCCCUGCAGGGCCAGGGCGCCGGCGCCAGGUGCCCAUCAAGCUCCCGGGAGGACGGAAGCGCGGGGGCAGGGAGCCCGCACCCCAAGGGCUCUGUGGACCCGCCCAGCCCCGACGGGACGGGACGGGACGCCGCCGAGGGCCGCCCUGCUCCCCGCCAGGUCUGCCUUGCGCCAGGGACAGGGGUCCUACUCGGCUCUGCACGUCUCUGUCUCCCCGCAUCUACCGUGGCCCCACAUGAUGUGCUCCAAGGCCAGCGCCCUGCACCCAGCCAGCUGCUUCCAAGGCAUCUGGGCACUCCCAGCCCCAAAUUCAUUCUGCCCAGCUUCUCCAACCAAGAGGGAAGGCCUUUCCUAA
rnacentral:lncRNA from 1 species